rnacentral:rRNA from 1 species
GACAUAGGUGGCAAACGUUAUCCGGAAUUACUGGGCGUAAAGAGCUCGUAGGCGGUCUGUCGCGUCGGCUGUGAAAACUCGGGGCUCAACCCCGAGCCUGCAGUCGAUACGGGCAGACUAGAGUGCUGUAGGGGAGACUGGAAUUCCUGGUGUAGCGGUGAAAUGCGCAGAUAUCAGGAGGAACACCGGUGGCGAAGGCGGGUCUCUGGGCAGUAACUGACGCUGAGGAGCGAAAGCGUGGGGAGCGAACAGG